rnacentral:lncRNA from 1 species
UGAAGAGAGACAGCAUCUCCUUCCUCUGAAGAUUCUGUUCAGAAUGGAUAAAGGUUCAGCAUCCUCCCUGGAUGGGGCAGCUUAGCAGGCAAGAAAGAAGUCAACUGAGUUUCUUCUAGAGAAAUUAUAGAAAGAAAGAAAAAGAAAGAAAGAAAGAAAGAAAGAAAGAAAGAAAGAAAGAAAGAAAGAAAGAGGAAGGAAGGAAAGAAAGAAAGAAGAAAGAAAAAGAAAGAAAGAAAGAAAGAAAGAAAGAAAGAAAGAAAGAAAGAAAGAAAGAAAGAAAGAAAGAAAGAAAGAAAGGGAAAGAAAGAAAAGUUGACUGAGACAUGGCCCAUUCCCUCCCUGGGACCAGCCUCUUCUUUCCAGCUCAAGGGUCAAGACAGUGUCCCCAGGAAGAAGCAAAGGCUGUGUUUUCCACACUCUUAUCUAGAGGUGAGCUGGCAGAAGCUCCUCCCAGACUGCAUCUAUCAGACAGGGAGACAAUAACUGCUUGGGUGAGGAACAAAGGGAGGAGACACCAACUGUCCCCACUAAUGACAGAAGAUGUGGCAGCCUGAAGCCCUAAUAUUGGCUGUGGCCCUUUAAGAUCCCUCCCCACUUAACUGUAACACCCCCCUUCUCCAGGAAACUGGCAAGGACCCUUGGCACUGUUGGCCAGCGCUCUUGGAGACAGCCAGGACGGGGUUGGCAGGACUGCCUACACUGCUUUGAAAAUAUUUAACAAUAGGUAACUUUGG